UACAGAGGGGGCAAGCGUUAUUCGGAAUUAUUGGGCGUAAAGGGCGCGUAGGCGGCCUGGCAAGUGGAAGGUGAAAUCCCUCGGCUUAACCGAGGAACUGCCCUCCAAACUGCUUGGCUUGAGUCCGGGAGAGGUGAGUGGAAUUCCCAGUGUAGCGGUGAAAUGCGUAGAUAUUGGGAGGAACACCGGUGGCGAAGGCGGCAUCCUGGACCGGCAUUGACGCUGAGGCGCGAAAGCCAGGGGAGCAAAGCGGGG
rnacentral:rRNA from 1 species